AUUGAACGCUGGCGGAAUGCUUUACACAUGCAAGUCGAACGGCAGCACGGGGGCAACCCUGGUGGCGAGUGGCGAACGGGUGAGUAAUACAUCGGAACGUGCCCAAUCGUGGGGGAUAACGUAGCGAAAGCUACGCUAAUACCGCAUACGAUCUACGGAUGAAAGCGGGGGAUCGCAAGACCUCGCGCGAAUGGAGCGGCCGAUGGCAGAUUAGGUAGUUGGUGGGGUAAAGGCUCACCAAGCCAACGAUCUGUAGCUGGUCUGAGAGGACGACCAGCCACACUGGAACUGAGACACGGUCCAGACUCCUACGGGAGGCAGCAGUGGGGAAUUUUGGACAAUGGGCGCAAGCCUGAUCCAGCCAUUCCGCGUGCAGGAUGAAGGCCUUCGGGUUGUAAACUGCUUUGUACGGUACGAAAAGGUACCGUGGUUAAUACCUGGGCGUCAUGACGGUACCGUAAGGAAUAAGACACCGGCUAACUAACGUGCCAGCAGCCGCGGUAAGU
rnacentral:rRNA from 1 species